rnacentral:lncRNA from 1 species
UAAGGAGUGGAAAGUUGCUGUGAGGUUUACCUAAGAUGGCUUCCUAGAGGAGACUGGAAACUUCCUGUGUAGAAUGUGCACUGGAGACAGGGAUGGGAGAUAAGUCUGGAAAACUGGUCAAAUGAGCUUCCAUUUGGAUGUUGGGAUAAGUCUGGCUGAACUCCACAGAGGUGUUCCAAGAUAAAAGAAUUUCUGCACACAUGGAAAAAUGAACGC